rnacentral:pre_miRNA from 1 species
GAAAAACAACUUUUCGUAGAGCGCAUAGAUCUCCAACGAACCGAAUUGUCUUGAAGUUACUGUGAUUUGAAAAUAACUUUAGGAUGAUUCGGUCCGUCGGAGAUCUACACGCUCUACGAAGAGUUUUUUUC